GGCGUUGCUGGGGCUGGAGAAGGCAAAGUGCAGAGGAAGGAGGAGCCACUGCUAGUGGGUACGAGGUUUCUUCUUGGUACAAGGACUUCUACGUUCUGUCCUCCUGCAGCCAUCUAAAAUCAGCCAGAAAGGUUUAGGAUCCCAUUUCCUGUUCUUGCAUCGGCUGUCCAAGCUGCUGUUCCUCUCUCCGCAGUAAGAGGGUGUUUCUCUCCCUGUUCAAGAGGAGCACCAACACUUGAGGACAGUAUCAUCCCUAGACCUUGGCAAGAGAGACCACUGAGUGAGGCAUCCAUGGAACCCAAGGAAGAGGCCUACGAAGAACCUGCAGUCACCUUCUAGACCAUUCUCCCUCACCAAACUGUCCCCUCCAGAGAGCUGAGGACUGGAUCUUCCCAUGCUGACACCUCCAGUGGGAAAGAAAAUUCUAGAUUCAGCUCUGGGUGUCCAAGUCAUUAUGAAGGCAUAUUUGUCAAGGUGGAAGAAAAGGACAUAUUCUAUUUAGCAGUUUAAAGAAGUAAUGCAUGACUCUGAUUUGCGGCUGCAGGAUAAAUCCGAACUAUUUCAGGGAGAUGUCAUGGAGAGCUCAUCUCUCAGCAUCAAAGUUGCCUCUCCUGACUUUUGAAUUUUAAGUGUUCUGUGUGGAAGAAAAAUGGAGACAACAAAUUUCUAUGCAUGGAUUCAAAGAAUCCUCGUAAUAUACAGACUACAUUCUCCCCAGCUUUUUAUCUCUAUAUAUUCUUUUUGUUGAGUUUCAACCACAUAGGGUUGAAAUUCACCUUCCCACAUUACAUUUUUCAUCAAUAGUUGAAGACCUAUGUAUGUAAAUAUCAGGAACUAUCAGAACUCCCUGCAACAGGAAACCUGACCCCCAACUCCCCCGAAAUGCAUCAUGAUAAACAGUCACUUGCCAAAAUAACAAAUCAGCUUCCUGGAACAUGCUUGCUCAAAACCAGGAGAGGAGCUUAGAGACGUCAGCUUGACUUCUGCCUCGUACGCAGGAAGGGUGACCUUCAAAGAUCAAACAUCGUCCCAAAUCUCCCUUCAUCUUGUAGUACUCCUGCUUGUCGUAGCUCCUGUUACCAUCAGCUGACUCGAAGCCCAGAUUCUCC
rnacentral:lncRNA from 10 species